rnacentral:ncRNA from 1 species
AGAAACGCAAUGACAAGAAGAGUACGGUUAAACGUCAUCCACAGAAAGGUGCAUGUUGGUGAAAGCACUGUUGAUGAAUAACCCGAAGAUGAUCUUCAAGCGACACCGUCGAUCCGAAUGUGGUUAGACGACGUUGGGUGCGCCCAUUACAGCGCCAGAGUAUCAGGUUUGUGCACGAACCUGGCACUUGGCGAGGAAACAAUCGCGAGGUUGCUUCAAAAUAAGGUGGUAACACGGAAAUCCGUCCUUUAU